rnacentral:rRNA from 1 species
CAGAGGUCCCAAGCGUUGUUCGGAUUUACUGGGCGUAAAGGGAGCGUAGGUGGCGGGCUAAGUCUACUGUGAAAGCUCUGAGCUUAACUCAGAAAUGGCAGUGGAUACUAGUUCGCUUGAGGAUUGGAGGGGAGACUGGAAUGCUCGGUGUAGCAGUGAAAUGCGUAGAUAUCGAGCGGAACACCAGUGGCGAAGGCGAGUCUCUGGACAAUUCCUGACACUGAUGCUCGAAAGCUAGGGGAGCAAACGGGAUUAGAUACCCCGGUAGUCCUAGCUGUAAACGGUGCACGCUUGCUGUAGGUGGAAUCGACCCCGCCUGUAGCGAAGCUAACGCGUUAAGCGUGCCGCCUGGGAAGUACGGUCGCAAGAUUA